GCGCUAUGGUUGAGUGGUUAGCUUCCUCCUGCCAUGUUGAACGGCAUUUGCGGCGGUCCAUGGUUCGAUUCCCAGUGUGUGCU